GUGUGUGUGUGUUUUGCGUCAUCUCACCUGCAGGUAGUCGGACUGUAUGGCGGACAGGAGGGGCUCCUUGCUGAGCUCAUACAGCACGUCUGACACCAUGACCUGGCUGAAGUCCUCGCACAGGAAGUGCAUGGCCUGCCGGUGGACCCACUUGGAGCCGUAGGGCUGCGAGCUCCACUUCAAGAUGGCCACCACCGUGUCCAGAGAGAUGCUUUCCACCACGAUGUCCUCACAGCCUGAGGGAUGUAAAUGGAGGAGACAAGAAGACCCACCUAUGAAAGUCUGCUGAGACUGUGAAUUGCCCCCAAAACGAGGAGAGCAUGAAUGAGGAUAGCUGGAGGCAUUGACACCCAUCCUCUCCUGCUUCAACUUCCUCUUCACACGGACCACUGAGGCCACUCCUGCUGGCACAUUCUGGCCGAGCAAAGGUCCUUCAAGUCAGGGUCCGGACACAGGCAGAGACUGGGUCUCAGUGCCUGUAGCUCCGCCUGCCAUUUCUGAAAAGUAACAGAGAAGGAGAAGUGAUUUACAUUGUAUGCCACAUACACAAACAACAUGUUACACAUAUCACGUUUUCUUCAAGAAAUAAACCCCAACCCAGUGUUGUUGAUAUUUUUGCAAA